rnacentral:rRNA from 1 species
AGGCACUACGGUGCUGAAGUAACAAAUGCCCUGCUUCCAGGAAAAGCCUCUAAGCAUCAGGUAACAUCAAAUCGUACCCCAAACCGACACAGGUGGUCAGGUAGAGAAUACCAAGGCGCUUGAGAGAACUCGGGUGAAGGAACUAGGCAAAAUGGUGCCGUAACUUCGGGAGAAGGCACGCUGGUGUGUAGGUGAAGUCCCUGCGGAUGGAGCUGAGACCAGUCGAAGAUACCAGCUGGCUGCAACUGUUUAUUAAAAACACAGCACUGUGCAAACACGAAAGUGGACGUAUACGGUGUGACGCCUGCCCGGUGCCGGAAGGUUAAUUGAUGGGGUUAUCCGUAAGGAGAAGCUCUUGAUCGAAGCCCCGGUAAACGGCGGCCGUAACUAUAACGGUCCUAAGGUAGCGAAAUUCCUUGUCGGGUAAGUUCCGACCUGCACGAAUGGCGUAAUGAUGGCCAGGCUGUCUCCACCCGAGACUCAGUGAAAUUGAACUCGCUGUGAAGAUGCAGUGUACCCGCGGCAAGACGGAAAGACCCCGUGAACCUUUACUAUAGCUUGACACUGAACAUUGAGCCUUGAUGUGUAGGAUAGGUGGGAGGCUUUGAAGCGUGGACGCCAGUCUGCGUGGAGCCAACCUUGAAAUACCACCCUUUAAUGUUUGAUGUUCUAACGUUGGCCCCUGACCGGGGUUGCGGACAGUGUCUGGUGGGUAGUUUGACUGGGGCGGUCUCCUCCCAAAGCGUAACGGAGGAGCACGAAGGUUAGCUAAUCCUGGUCGGACAUCAGGAGGUUAGUGCAAUGGCAUAAGCUAGCUUGACUGCGAGCGUGACGGCGCGAGCAGGUGCGAAAGCAGGUCAUAGUGAUCCGGUGGUUCUGAAUGGAAGGGCCAUCGCUCAACGGAUAAAAGGUACUCCGGGGAUAACAGGCUGAUACCGCCCAAGAGUUCAUAUCGACGGCGGUGUUUGGCACCUCGAUGUCGGCUCAUCACAUCCUGGGGCUGAAGUAGGUCCCAAGGGUAUGGCUGUUCGCCAUUUAAAGUGGUACGCGAGCUGGGUUUAGAACGUCGUGAGACAGUUCGGUCCCUAUCUGCCGUGGGCGCUGGAGAAUUGAGGGGGGCUGCUCCUAGUACGAGAGGACCGGAGUGGACGCAUCACUGGUGUUCGGGUUGUCAUGCCAAUGGCACUGCCCGGUAGCUAAAUGCGGAAGAGAUAAGUGCUGAAAGCAUCUAAGCACGAAACUUGCCCCGAGAUGAGUUCUCCCUGAGACUUUAAGUCUCCUGAAGGAACGUUGAAGACGACGACGUUGAUAGGCCGGGUGUGUAAGCGCAGCGAUGCGUUGAGCUAACCGGUACUAAUGAACCGUGAGGCUUAACCUU